GUAGUACAUUUGUAAUGUAAAAGCAAUUGGAAGUAGUAUAUUUCUUUACGAUCUCUUCACAAUAAGUGUUGUAAAGGUAAUAUUAUUGGUUCCAUUACUUUUGUAGUUUUAUUGUAAGGAGGUCGAUGAGCAUGACAGGAACAGUAAAAUGGUUUAAUGCAGAUAAAGGUUUCGGAUUCAUCGAACGUGAAGACGGUGACGAUGUAUUCGUACAUUUUUCAGCAAUUCAAGCUGAAGGUUUUAAAACCUUAAACGAAGGUCAAACAGUUGAAUUCGAAAUUGUCGAAGGCGACCGCGGACCACAAGCAGCUAACGUUGUAGCUCAAUAAGUUUAAACAAACUUCAAAAGGUGUAUCUCUAAUACAAGAGAUACACCUUUU
rnacentral:misc_RNA from 1 species